rnacentral:rRNA from 1 species
GGCGGACGGGUGAGUAACACGUGGGAACGUGCCCUUUGGUUCGGAAUAAUCCGGGGAAACCUGGCCUAAUACCGGAUGAGCCCUACGGGGGAAAGAUUUAUCGCCAUUGGAGCGGCCCGCGUCUGAUUAGCUAGUUGGUGAGGUAAAGGCUCACCAAGGCUACGAUCAGUAGCUGGUCUGAGAGGAUGAUCAGCCACACUGGGACUGAGACACGGCCCAGACUCCUACGGGAGGCAGCAGUAGGGAAUCUUGCGCAAUGGGCGAACGCCUGACGCAGCCAUGCCGCGUGAAUGAUGAAGGUCUUAGGAUUGUAAAAUUCUUUCAGCAGGGAAGAUAAUGACUGUACCUGCAGAAGAAGCCCCGGCUAACUUCGUGCCAGCAGCCGCGGUAAUACGAAGGGGGCUAGCGUUGCUCGGAAUUACUGGGCGUAAAGGGCGCGUA